AAUCAAGGUCUACUGUGCAUUUAAUCCGUCAUGUGUUUGUUUCAGAUGAAUGAAUACCUGCACCAUGGAAACAAUGUCAUUUGCAAACUUUUUGAACCUGUGCUGGGCGUUCACAUUGACAUUUCUUGUUCAACAGGAAUACAUGAUGUCGACCAACAGUACAGCUAGAUGAAGAUAUAAACUUAUUCAAAGAAAUAAUGGGACAAUGAAUGCUAAAAUUGCCAAGAAGAAGACUGCCAAUUUACACACCAUUUUAUACAGUUACAGUAUGAUAUGAUGAACAAAAUGCCUCAAUGCAGCCAGUUCUGGAGCUUUGGCUAGACUAUGAACAGUAGACAUCAAAAGAAGAUCAUCUGAAGGGCCACAAUUGUUUAAAGCACUGGUCAACAAAAACUGAACUAUUUGAUGAAUCAUACAUCUGCAGAAUGUACUACCAUAUUUCCAGAAUCAGAGAAAUAGAAAUAUCAAGUAUUAGAGAGAAAGAAAAGUAUGCAUCAUGUAUGAAGAACUGCCUAAGAAUAAUUGCAAAAUACAUUGAAAUCUAACAUUUGCUAAUUGCAUAAGGAAGUUAAGAAAGGUGUACUCUUCUGGAAAAUAUGUGUCCAGUGCAACAUUUCUUUUCCAAUUUUGUGAGCAUAAUUCUGAAUAAAAAUUGCAACAUGGCUACAGGGAUAAUACAAAAGGUUUAAUCUUAUUUCCAAACACACUGGGGGAAUCAGAGAAGAAAUAUCAAGAAUUAGGGAAAAAGAAAUAAUUGUCAUGAAUGAAGAACUUGCUUUUUAUUAAUUUACAAAAUACUUUUUAUCCUCACAACUGUUAAUGAUAUUAUGAAUAUGGAAG